CAAAAGCUCAUUGGAAAAUUGAUUUACUUGACGAUUACUAGGCUUGACAUUUGCUUUGCAGUUUAGAUGCUUAGCCAAUUUAGGCAGCAUCCAAAACAAUCACACUGGAUGGCAGCUUUACGAGUUGUAAGAUAUGUGAAAGGUUCACCUGGACUAGGAGCUUUUUUUAAGAGAAGUCCCAUAAAAGAUUUGGUGGUACAUUGUGAUUCUGAUUGGGCAUCAUGCCCCAACACAAGGAGGUCAAUGACUGGAUUCAUCUUGCAGUUAGGAUCUUCAUUGGUUUCUUGGAAAUCUAAGAAACAAAAUACUGUAAGGCACAGUUCAGCAGAGGCAAAGUAUCGCAGCAUGGCAGCUGUAGUUACUACGGUAAUUUGGAUGGUAGGCUUAUUGAAAGAUUUGUCCAUUAUUGUAACUAUGCCUAUUCAGCUCUAUUGUGACGGUAAGGCAGCUAUGCAAAUUGCUGCAAACCCAAACUUUCAUGAAUGCACCAAGCAUAUCAAAAUCGAUUGCCAUUUCAUAAAGGAAAAAACUUAAGGAAGGACUUAUACAUCCAUUACAUGCAUCCACCAAGUUUCAGCUGGCUGAUUUGUUGACCAAAGGACUAGGAACAGCUCAACAUAAUUUUUUGUUAUCCAAGACAUUUUUUCACCCUCCAACUUGAGGAGGAGUAUUGAAAUAUUGAUAAUUAGUUAAGAGAAGUAGUUAGUUAGAUGGUUGUUGAGAAAAACAGUUGUAACAAACAUGAGUUGUCACUAGAACAUGACUUUAUAAUCAGUUAGCACUCAGUUGAAUUGACAGCUGUCCAAGUUGAUCUAGUGCUACAUAUAGUCCAGCUUGAAAAGAACAAUCAGUAAGUUUUUCAUAAUAAAAAAUAUCCUCUUCUCUACUUCUUCUCCUCCUCUGCUAUAUGCAGAUUUCAUAGAGUUUUGACAUGUCUAAUAAUGGUAUUUCUUUACUGGAUUUCAUCUGUGCACUAAUUCCUUCGUAGUGACUGUAGAGAGGAUUUCUCAUUGUCCUUAACUCGAAUAUCUGAGUGGAAGUUGGCGCUUCUUCAAUGAGCUAGUGCAUGAAUCUCCUUUUGGACUUGUCUGUUCAUUUAUGUGAUGAUUGGGCUGCUCUAUUUGGUACAGGGAUCAUGAUAGUGAUACGGGGUCCCCAACCAAACGGCAAAAAUGAGACUUUCCCUUUUGUUGCUCCUGAAAUUCCUUCACUAAAUCUCUCAGGCUUGAAUUGUCUUGCAUCGUCACUCCAUAGUUCGUGAUCAUGAUGUAGCAAGAUUGUGGGCAACAACAAUAACACCCCAGCAGGUAGACUCAUAUCUCCUAAAUUAGUUUCUUUAUAAAUUUUCCGACUAAUUGAAGUUACUGGUGGGUACAACCUAAGAACCUCGUGUAAAAUCAUGUUGACCUAGACAUAAUUGAGUCGAGCACUAAAUGAGUUCUUGGAUAGAAAAACUUAUUGAACGUUGAUUUGAAAAAAUACUUACAAUUUUCAAAUGAUUUAGUCCAUCAAAAUUUGGUUCAUCAUGGCCAAAAGCUUGCAAAACCUCUUCUCUAGCUCGUGCUUGCCAACCUUGAUGUAUGCUUAAUAGAAACAUUGUCCAUACUAUCGUCACAGAAGUAUUCUCCUGCCCAGCAAGAAAAAAUAACUUGCACUCCUCGACUAUGUCGCCGAUGUUCAUUACAGAAUUCUUGUUCCCAGGUUGUCCAUUUUUGAAACUGGACUCUAACAGUGCACCUAAUAAAUCAUUAUUACUAGCAUGCCUUGUUUUCAUUGCCUUCAAUCUAUCGUCGAUAAUACCUCUAAUUGUUGCUUGAAUUUUCUUCUCAAUUUCUUUCAUCCUUCUGUUUCUCUUAGUUGGUAGAAACCUACCGUAAAAAAUACUAGUCAUUGAACGAGAAAAUAGAAAACAUAAGGUACUAAAAUUUGGUAUCUAAUAUUGGGUAAACAAGAAAUACAAAAAUUCAGGUCAAACUCAAUCGCAAGAGUUAGUUCAUGUGGUCCGAGUUGGUUCUAGAAUACAGUUAUGGGUUCAUUAGAUCCUGGUAACUUUUGCCUAAAUCCUGUAGAUGUAAUAGUGCUGGCUAUUUUUCAAUUACAAGGGUUGAAAAGGGGUUAUCUGUGAAAUUUUUUCUCAAACUUGUAUAGGUGAUAAACUAUCCACCAAAUAAGUAUAAAUAAUAGCGUUGAACCAGUAAAUCAAAUGCAUGUGGUAGAAUUUCGAACAGAUAAAGGUCAAAUCCUUUAUUUGCGUACGCAUAAGAUAAAAAUCACCCAUAAAAAUCAUCCAGGACCAUAUAAGGAGCCGACAACUAAUUCCUCGUAUCAAAUAUGGAACAAUUAACAAAUGAAAUGUCAACAUCAACAGACAUUAGCAGAAGAGAUGUUGAUUUAAGAAAAUACUCCUUCUAUCUGAGUCAAACAAUUGAAGUUUGAUUGUGAAUGUAGGCAUGAAAUCUUCAAGUUUUUAACAAUAAAAUUUAUAAAUUUUAAACUACAUGAAGAGUCCUAGAAAUUACAUAUUUGACAAUUAAAAUACUUGAAAGAAACAUGAAAACAUUAAGGUAUAUCUUGAAAUUCGAAAAGUGCCACGUAAGUUGGGAUAGAAGAGCACAAAAAAGUGCAUGGUGAAGUUACCUCCAACCUGGAAUAUGUCCUGAACGUACAAUUUCCAUAAGAUGAUAAGCUUGUUCUUUUUGAAGUUCAAAUAUGUCUCUCCCUUGUUGGUAAGAAACACCAAAUGCGGUACGUGCAAUAAUAUUGGUGCUCAUAUUUUGAAUAGAAGGCCAUAUAUCCAGUUCACAGGUAUCUUUCUGGCAAAAGACUUCAUCCCACUUGUUCACCAACUCAUUGCAGCCCAGGUAAAAUGCUGGCAGCAUAUUCUGUUUCAGAAGUUCAAAAAUAGUCCUUAUUAGUUAUACAAUAACUAUUCACAAAUCUACGAAAUCAGGGAAAUCAUGAAGUCUCAGGUUCAAAUUGUCGAAACACUAACUAAUUUCUUUCCAUUUGCCUAAGCCUACGUGGAUGGAUUUACCCGGUAAUUCAGUAGAAUAUAGCCAAGGUAUGCACAAAUUUACCCGUAUGUCACCAUCAUUUUUUUUAUAACAACGGUGUUCGGGUCAGCUUUCAUUUAUUGCAACUAAAUCCAAGAGAUACCUACCACCUCCCAACAACAAUAGAGAUCAGGUAAUUCUGUCCACCAAAGCUAGUAUAGAUGAGAAAAAAAAUCACCAAGUGUUUUUUUGUCUCGGCGGGAAUUUGAACAUGAGACCUCAGAUUCUCAAUCCACUUCAUUGACCACUAGGCCACACCCUUGGGUGCCACCAUCAUAAAAGGAAUAAAUAAAUAUUUUAACCUAAACUUUGUUGUCUUAGAGUUGUUUUAUCAAACUAACACCUUCAACUUAUCUGGAUGGAAAGCAGGAUUCAUAAUCCUUCUGUUUUUGGCCCAAUGAACCCCCUCUGCACCGACAAGUCCUUGUGCCAACAAUUUCGCUACAGGAUUAUGAGGCUUUUGAAAAUCAUAGAUCUUGGAAAAGAUCUCCUUUAUAAGAAGAGGAUCCAUAAUGUAAAUCUCUGGAGUUGUCCCAUGCCAAAAUAUGGCAUUUUUACCUGCAAUUUCAACUUCAUUUAUCAGACUCGUAUGAGGAGGUAACUCUCAACUCUUUAAUUUUUAGUUGUUACAUUUGAAUAGACACUCAAACUUACCUUCAGUUGUCAAGUACGCAUUUUAACUUUUGAGUAUACACCUUAGUUUGUUUUCACUAUAUCAAUUGAACACUUCAACUAACAAAAUGAUCAUCUAGACACCUCCAAAAUUUAUGUGUCACGUCAGUGUUGAGUGCCCACGGGACACAAUUGGUACGAGUUGAAGUAUUUACAAGACAAAAUGAGAUGUUCAGAUGUGCACUCUCAAAGUUGGAGUGCUUCCUUGCUAGCUGAACCAAGUUUGAGUGAGUGUUUAUCCAUUAUGCCUAUUUUUAAUAAGAUCAUGUUUCUAGUACCUACAACUUCAGCGAAAUGCAUGGAGAAAAUGCAUUGAAUUAGAAGAUAUCUUAUUUCUCUUUUUCUUCUCUUAAUCUUGUAUUUUAAUUAAAAUGUUUUAACAUUUAUGCCACUCCACCCAAAUUCCACAUCAGGCAAUGUCUUCUGCCGAAUUCCCCCAUAAGGCAGGAUUUGGGUCCAAAAAAAGGGUCAGUGACCCUUCUUUUUCAAAAUAAGUAAAA